UACGAAGGGGGCUAGCGUUGCUCGGAAUCACUGGGCGUAAAGGGUGCGUAGGCGGGUCUUUUAAGUCAGGGGUGAAAUCCUGGAGCUCAACUCCAGAACUGCCUUUGAUACUGAAGAUCUUGAGUUUCGGGAGAGGUGAGUGGAACUGCGAGUGUAGAGGUGAAAUUCGUAGAUAUUCGCAAGAACACCAGUGGCGAAGGCGGCUCACUGGCCCGAUACUGACGCUGAGGCACGAAAGCGUGGGGAGCAAACAGG
rnacentral:rRNA from 1 species